CUUUUGAAUUUUGAUAGUGUUUGCUUUUGGGGGAUACGGGGAUACGCAGUCAUUAAAAUGACGUAAUUAUUCGAGUAGUUUAAGAGGAGAAUGGGUAACUAUUAUUUUUCAAUGAUACGGGGAUACGGGGAUACGCAGUCAUUAAAAUGACGUAAUUAUUCUAGUAGUUUAAGAGGAGAAUGGGUAACUAUCAUUUUUCAAUGAUACGGGGAUACGGGGAUACGCAGUCAUUAAAAUGACGUAAUUAUUCGAGUAGUUUAAAAGGAGAAUGGGUAACUAUUAUUUUUCAAUGAUACGGGGAUACGGGGAUACGCAGUCAUUAAAAUGACGUAAUUAUUUGAGUAGUUUAAAAGGAGAAUGGGUAACUAUUAUUUUUCAAUGAUACGGGGAUACGCAGUCAUUAAAAUGACGUAAUUAUUGGAGUAGUUUAAGAGGAGAAUGUGUAACUAUUAUUUUUCAAUGAUACGGGGAUACGUAGUCAUUAAAAAGACGUAAUUAUUCGAGUAGUUAAGAGGAGAAUGGGUAACUAUUAUUUUUCAAUGAUACGGGGAUACGGGAAUACGCAGUCAUUAAAAUGACGUAAUUAUUCGAGUAGUUUAAGAGGAGAAUGGGUAACUAUUAUUUUUCAAUGAUACGGGGAUACGCAGUCAUUAAAAUGACGUAAUUAUUCGAGUAGUUUAAGAGGAGAAUGGGUAACUAUUAUUUUUCAAUGAUACGGGGAUACGGGGAUACGCAGUCAUUAAAAUGACGUAAUUAUUAGAGUAGUUUAAGAGGAGAAUGGGUAACUAUUAUUUUUCAAUGAUACGGGGAUACGGGGAUACGCAGUCAUUAAAAUGACGUAAUUAUUGGAGUAGUUUAAGAGGAGAAUGGGUAACUAUUAUUUUUCAAUGAUACGGGGAUACGGGGAUACGCAGUCAUAUGCAUUAAAAUGACGUAAUUAUUCGAGUAGUUUAAAAGGAAAAUGGGUAACUAUUAUUUUUCAAUGAUACGGGGAUACGGGGAUACGCAGUCAUUAAAAUGACGUAAUUAUUCGAGUAGUUUAAAAGGAGAAUGGGUAACUAUUAUUUUUCAAUGAUACGGGAAUACGGGGAUACGCAGUCAUUAAAAUGACGUAAUUAUUCGUGUACUUUAAAAGGAGAAUUGGUAACUAUUAUAUUUCAAUGAUACGGGGAUACGGGAAUACGCAGUCAUUAAAAUGACGUAAUUAUUCGUGUAGUUGAAGAGGAGAAUUGGUAACUAUUAUAUUUCAAUGAUACGGGGAUACGGGGAUACGCAGUCAUUAAAAUGACGUAAUUAUUUGAGUAGUUUAAAAGGAGAAUGGGUAACUAUUAUUUUUCAAUGAUACGGGGAUACGGGGAUACGCAGUCAUUAAAAUGACGUAAUUAUUCGAGUAGUUUAAGAGGAGAAUGGGUAACUAUUAUUUUUCAAUGAUACGGGGAUACGGGGAUACGCAGUCAUUAAAAUGACGUAAUUAUUUGAGUAGUUUAAAAGGAGAAUGGGUA
rnacentral:lncRNA from 1 species